UUUGAUCCUGGCUCAGAACGAACGCUGGCGGCAUGCCUAACACAUGCAAGUCGAACGAGACCUUCGGGUCUAGUGGCGCACGGGUGCGUAACGCGUGGGAAUCUGCCCCUUGGUUCGGAAUAACAGUUAGAAAUGACUGCUAAUACCGGAUGAUGACGAAAGUCCAAAGAUUUAUCGCCGAGGGAUGAGCCCGCGUAGGAUUAGCUAGUUGGUGAGGUAAAGGCUCACCAAGGCGACGAUCCUUAGCUGGUCUGAGAGGAUGAUCAGCCACACUGGGACUGAGACACGGCCCAGACUCCUACGGGAGGCAGCAGUGGGGAAUAUUGGACAAUGGGCGAAAGCCUGAUCCAGCAAUGCCGCGUGAGUGAUGAAGGCCUUAGGGUCGUAAAGCUCUUUUACCAGGGAUGAUAAUGACAGUACCUGGAGAAUAAGCUCCGGCUAACUCCGUG
rnacentral:rRNA from 1 species